rnacentral:rRNA from 1 species
AGUACGGCCGCAAGGUUAAAACUCAAAUGAAUUGACGGGGGCCCGCACAAGCGGUGGAGCAUGUGGUUUAAUUCGAUGCAACGCGAAGAACCUUACCUGGUCUUGACAUCCACAGAACUUUCCAGAGAUGGAUUGGUGCCUUCGGGAACUGUGAGACAGGUGCUGCAUGGCUGUCGUCAGCUCGUGUUGUGAAAUGUUGGGUUAAGUCCCGCAACGAGCGCAACCCUUAUCCUUUGUUGCCAGCGGUCCGGCCGGGAACUCAAAGGAGACUGCCAGUGAUAAACUGGAGGAAGGUGGGGAUGACGUCAAGUCAUCAUGGCCCUUACGACCAGGGCUACACACGUGCUACAAUGGCGCAUACAAAGAGAAGCGACCUCGCGAGAGCAAGCGGACCUCAUAAAGUGCGUCGUAGUCCGGAUUGGAGUCUGCAACUCGACUCCAUGAAGUCGGAAUCGCUAGUAAUCGUGGAUCAGAAUGCCACGGUGAAUACGUUCCCGGGCCUUGUACACACCGCCCGUCACACCAUGGGAGUGGGUUGCAAAAGAAGUAGGUAGCUUAACCUUCGGGAGGGCGCUUACCACUUUGUGAUUCAUGACUGGGGUGAAGUCGUAACAAGGUAACCGUAGGGGAACCUGCGGUUG